rnacentral:rRNA from 1 species
UAAAACGACUCUCGGCAACGGAUAUCUCGGCUCUCGCAUCGAUGAARAACGUAGCGAAAUGCGAUACUUGGUGUGAAUUGCARAAUCCCGUGAACCAUCGAGUUUUUGAACGCAAGUUGCGCCCGAAGCCACUAGGCCGAGGGCACGUCUGCCUGGGCGUCACAC